GACAGAGGGGGGAAGCGUUGUCCGGAGUUACUGGGCGUAAAGGGCGCGGAGGCGGUCUGCGGCGUCGGCGCUGAAAGCGCCCCGCUUAACGGGGCGAGGCGUGCCGAUACGCGCAGACUUGAGGCGAGCAGAGGGUGGUGGAAUUCCGGGUGGAGCGGUGAAAUGCGUAGAGAUCCGGAGGAACGCCAGUGGGGAAGCCGGCCACCUGGGCUCGUCCUGACGCUGCGGCGCGACAGCGCGGGGAGCAAACCGG
rnacentral:rRNA from 1 species